UACGAAGGGGGCUAGCGUUGCUCGGAAUCACUGGGCGUAAAGGGUGCGUAGGCGGGUCUUUUAAGUCAGGGGUGAAAUCCUGGAGCUCAACUCCAGAACUGCCUUUGAUACUGAAGAUCUUGAGUUCGGGAGAGGUGAGUGGAACUGCGAGUGUAGAGGUGAAAUUCGUAGAUAUUCGCAAGAACACCAGUGGCGAAGGCGGCUCA
rnacentral:rRNA from 1 species